rnacentral:rRNA from 1 species
UACGUAGGGGGCAAGCGUUAUCCGGAUUUACUGGGUGUAAAGGGGGCGCAGACGGCAAUGCAAGCCAGGAGUGAAAGCCCGGGGCCCAACCCCGGGACUGCUCUUGGAACUGCAUGGCUGGAGUACAGGAGGGGCAGGCGGAAUUCCUAGUGUAGCGGUGAAAUGCGUAGAUAUUAGGAGGAACACCGGUGGCGAAGGCGGCCUGCUGGACUGCAACUGACGUUGAGGCCCGAAAGCGUGGGGAGCAAACAGG